GUAGCGGUGAAAUGCGUAGAGAUCUGGAGGAAUACCGAUGGCGAAGGCAGCUUCCUGGCAUAAUAUUGACACUGAGAUUCGAAAGCGUGGGUAGCAAACAGGAUUAGAUACCCUGGUAGUCCACGCCGUAAACGAUGUCUACUAGCCGUUGGGGUCCUUGAGACUUUAGUGGCGCAGUUAACGCGAUAAGUAGACCGCCUGGGGAGUACGGCCGCAAGGUUAAAACUCAAAUGAAUUGACGGGGCCCGCACAAGCGGUGGAGCAUGUGGUUUAAUUCGAUGUCGACGCGAAGAACCUUACCAGGACUUGACAUGUCGCGAAUCCAGUGGAAACACAGGAGUGCCUUCGGGAGCGCGAACACAGGUGGUGCAUG
rnacentral:rRNA from 1 species